GCGUCGAUGAAGAGCGCAGCCAGCUGCGUGAAUUAAUGUGAAUUGCAGGACACACUGAACAUCGACACCUUGAACGCACAUUGCGGCUCUGGCUCACUGCCAGAGCCACGCCUGUCCGAGGGUCGGCGAACAAAUAAUCGCAAAGCGAUAUCCAUGUGCAUAUUGCUUGCGCGUUGGCGUGUCGCUCGGGCUCAGACCCGAUCGUCCGCCGAAGACUUCAGCCUCUCUCUGGGCGGCCGACCGAGGUGGCGCGGGGACAGGGCUCGAACGGGCCUUCUGUCUGGCGCCGCGUCCUCCCACUAGCCUGGGAGGGCGGCCCUCUGCCGGCUUCCGUCACCCAGCCUCUGUAGCGGAGGAGGGGGGAGCGAGCGGCGGUGAAACGCCGAAGCCAGUAGCGCUGCACUGUGCUGCAGUGCAGCCGCUCACCUAUCCGACCUCGGAUCAGACGGGACUACCCGCUGAAUUUAAGCAUAUCAGUAAGCGGAGGAAAAGAAACU
rnacentral:misc_RNA from 1 species